GGGGGCGAAAAGGUCUCGACUGGAUAGGCGGGGCGUUGAUUGCACGCGGAGGAUGAUCGUUGGCCUCCUUAAUCAUCGGUCAAAAAAGUAACUGCGAACACUGAGUACGCACUCGCGGCAUAGUCCACGACGUCUCCUCCCGGACGCCUGAUAAGGGCGGAGGCGCACGCAUCAGGCUGGCAAUGGCCGCCGGGCAGGCGGGCGGCACAGGCGAGAAGGAACAGCACGCUGCCUUCGCCGUGUGUCCGUGUGGCACCGUAGCGGCGGAGUAAGACUCAAGCCCACACUAAGCGUGUAGAUAUCAGCGGUCUGUUUAUUUAGGACGCGGGUUCAACUCCCGCCGCCUCCACCA
rnacentral:sRNA from 1 species